rnacentral:rRNA from 1 species
AUGGCCCUGCCCUUACACUGGAUGGCUGUACUCCCUUUGCCGGCUUGGGUCAUCGAGAUCAUUAAUAGGCGUUGCCGUGGAUUUAUUUGGAAGGGUGAACAGGAGAUCAAUGGUGGUCAUGGUCUACUGCCUUGGUCCAGAGUUUGCUUGCCUUUGGAGAUGGGAGGGCUCGGUAUUAUCAACCUCAAGUGGUUCGGCAUGGCACUGCGUUGCAAAUGGCCUUGGUUAAGAUGGGACACUGAGGAGAGACCCUGGAUGUUGUUCCCUGAUGAUAAUGAGAAGGACGUGGAACUCAUUUUCAGAACAGCUUGUCGCAUUAGCCUAGGUAAUGGCAAGAGAGCGAAGUUCUGGACGGACAACUGGCUCCCGGAUGGAAAUCGGGCCUGGGUUAGAGACAUCUCAGGAGGUUUGACACUGACUGCUUUGGCCCAAUACCUGAGGAUAUGGGAGAUUGUUCAGUCUACAACACUCAUUUCUGGAACUAGGGACCAACCGAUCUGGAAGCUCACCAAGGACCACCAGUUCUCCGUCAAGAGCGUAUAUCAGUUGUUCUACCUCGCGAACAUCCGCUUUGCUUGCCACAAGCUGAUCUGGAAAUCCAAAGCACCGCCGCGGUGCAAGUUUUUUAUGUGGCUUGCUGUACACAGAAGAUGUCUGACGGCGGACAAUUUGGAAAAAAGAAACUGGCCAUCUAAUGGCAUCUGCCCUUUGUGCUGUUCUGCGCCUGAAACAUGCUCGCACCUAUUUGUGCACUGUCAGUUUACCAGACUAGUCUGGCUGCGGUUCAGGACAUGGACUAGGGCUGAUUUCUUGAUCCCGGAAGUCAAUUUCAGUACAACUGAAGACUGGUGGCUGAAGGCGAGGGAGGGAAUCCCGAAACCAAUGAGGAAGAACUUUGAUACAAUUGUCAUUCUUGUACACUGGAGGAUCUGGAAGGAAAGGAACGCGAGGAUAUUUGAUAAUGCGAGUUGCACAGCAGACAAAGUUCGGGACUUGGUAAUUGAGGAUAUAGGCAUUUGGAGAUCCGCGGGCUGUAUCAGCGACCUGACGGCCUGA